AGGGACAUAGCUCAGUGGUAAAGCUCUUGUUUUGCAUGCAGAAGGCCUAGGUUCAAUCCCUAGCAUUUCUA